rnacentral:rRNA from 1 species
GGACUACUGGGGUAUCUAAUCCUGUUUGCUCCCCACGCUUUCGCGCCUCAGCGUCAGUUACGGUCCAGAGAGCCGCCUUCGCCACCGGUGUUCUUCCCAAUAUCUACGAAUUUCACCUCUACACUGGGAAUUCCACUCUCCUCUCCCGUACUCCAGCCAAUGAGUAUCAAGUGCAAUUCCCAGGUUGAGCCCGGGGCUUUCACACCUGACUUCAUCGGCCGCCUGCGCGCCCUUUACGCCCAGUAAUUCCGAACAACGCUCGCCCCCUUCGUAUUACCGCGGCUGCUGGCAC